AUUGAACGCUGGCGGCAGGCUUAACACAUGCAAGUCGAACGAGUGGCGGACGGGUGUGUAAUGCUUGGGAAUUUAGUAUAUGGAUGGGGAUAACUACGGGAAACUGUAGCUAUUACGGCGUACCAUAGGAUGAGCCCUAGGGGGAUUAUGUAGUUGGUGAGGUAAAGGCUAACCAAGCCGACGAUCUCUAGCUGGUCUGAGAGGAUGACCGGCCACACUGGGACUGAGACACGGCCCAGACUCCUACGGGAGGCAGCAGUGGGGAAUAUUGCGCAAUGGGGGCAACCUGACGCAGCCAUGCCGCGUGAAUGAAGAAGGCCUUCGGGUUGUAAAGUUCUUUCGGUAGCGAGGCGUUACCUACAGAAAAAGCACCGGCUAACUCCGUGCCAGCAGCCGCGGUAAUUC
rnacentral:rRNA from 1 species